CCAUUGUCCAUCCGCUCUGCAGAUCCUAACUUCGGCUAUUGCUUUUUCUGCCCUCUGGUCUUGAGGAAUUCUGCAUAACUCAAACAAGGAAAAACAGACGAACUUGAGAACGAAUUUGUCUUGCUAAAAAUUGAUCCACGCACCCCCACCAAAGGUGUUACUUGGAAGAGCCUUAACUUUCCCAAUGGGAUUAAAUUUUGUUAUCGUUUUAUUUAUUAGCAUUUCACUUUGCUUCACUGAACAUGAGAGAAAACAGAGCUACAAAAGUUCGCCGAAAGCAUUUUCAUAGUGGGCCUUUCCUCCUUGAAAAAAAUAAUUUUUGCCUUAAACUUCACAACUGCCUUAUGAAAACCCUUCAGGCUUAACUCUAAGGUCUGUGCAGGCAGGAUGGAGAUAAUGUUUUUAAAAACAUUCGCAGGCUUCCUCUUUUUUUGCCUUUUCCCACACGCGCGUGAGCCCAAGGUGUCCCUCUGCCACCAAGAGAUGUCGGAGAGUGAGACUUAGGAAGAUUCACUUGUUAGAGAAGAAAUGCAACCACGAACAAAGACUUUUCAGUUGCUGACAUUUAAAUGGCAUUUCGCAAGAAGACAAUAGGCAAAAAUGCUUGAAAGUCUGUCGAAAACAAAGGCGAGUCUAAACUCCUUUGCUUCCCCUGAAUAUAUCAAAUGCUAGGCCCGGACCACAAAGGAGUCAUUCUCCCACAGUUCAUCGAAAAUAGUUUUGUCCGCCAGAAGGGAUUGCUGGUGGGUGUUAAACAGAGGGAGUGAAAGGGGAGUUUGUCUGUCUGUCCUGGUCCUGGAGGACA